rnacentral:rRNA from 1 species
AGAGUUUGAUCCUGGCUCAGGAUGAACGCUAGCGGCAGNCCUAACACAUGCAAGUAGAACGGUAACAGAGAGAGCUUGCUCUUUGCUGACGAGUUGCGAACGGGUGCGUAACGCGUAUGCAACCUACCCAUAACAGGGGGAUAGCCCAUAGAAAUGUGGAUUAAUACCCCAUAACAUCAUAGAUUGGCAUCAUGAAAUGAUUAAAACUCCGGUGGUUAUGGAUGGGCAUGCGUGACAUUAGCUAGUUGGUGAGGUAACUGCUCACCAAGGCAACGAUGUCUAGGGGUUCUGAGAGGAUGAUCCCCCACACUGGUACUGAGACACGGACCAGACUCCUNCGGGAGGCAGCAGUGAGGAAUAUUGC